CUUCUUCCAGGAUGUUUUUAGUACGAGUUUGACUUUAGUUCCUGUUCUAACGGUAAAGCUGCUCGCUUUAGCAACAGGAAUUGCGUGGUCACCGAAGCGGAAGAGAAACUUCUUUAACGAGCGAGGAGGGAAGUGAUUAGGCGAGGAAUAACUGGCAUGGUAGUUCUGAGCCGUAGCUGCUGGCGUUCAGUAGAAGACGGAAGUACGACUGGGAGUAGUAUUGUGGCUGGAGAGGCCUACUUGGACUUCAUGGAAAGGGUCAGACACCUGGGAACCCAAACCCCCUCCUUACAAUGCUCCCGUAUGUGGAUAUGAACGCCACUCCCGAGCAAUGGCCACCUAGCCUAUCAUUUUAGCCCCCCCCUUUUUAUGGAGAAGUCAGUAGAGGAUCUCGUACAGUUCGCGGUCAAGAGGAACCGUACACCUGGCCAGGAUUUGGCAUACCUUCAUGGAACACUUACGUCGCUUAUGUGAAGUCGUGGACCGUUAAAAUACUUAGACAUCCUUCAGUGGACUUCCAGGGCAACAGCCGUUAACCACUACGUGAACUCGUUAUUUGUGUAUAAAGCUGUCUAGGAGACUAACUCUACGUAUUUGAGUUUAAAAUUUCUCAUUUUAACCCUUUAAUGACCAGAGAUCCCGUUUGGGAUCUUUAAAACAGCUACUUUCGGGUAGUCGUGGUGAACAAGUUUGAGCUUGUAUGAAAUUGACGCUUUGGCAACUCAUAGCUACACUCCUCUGCUCUUUGAAUCAACCAAUCAGAAGCCGCCAGGCCCUCGCACAAAAGCUGGAGGGCCUUCGACAGACACCGCAGUCGUGCGCAAGUUGGAAAACAGUGAAGACGUGCCGCAGUAACCUCCAAGUUUCCCCCCCCUCCGAACUUCGUAAUCAUGUUUCAAAGCAGUAUGUUUUAUGGGCAACGCAAUGCUGCAUUGGAGACUCAGGAACGUGUACCAUGGGUAGCCCCUGACGACGCUGAAGGAAGUGAUGUCGACGUGAGCCCUUUGGACAUUGACAGUGAUGAUGACGACCCUACCUACGUUCCUGACGAAGGCCUUACUCAGGACGAUG